AACAAAGUCUGAACAGGCUAAGUGAUACAUGAUGGCAGAAUCAUGUCCUAUUCAUCUUUUGUCUGCCAUGCUACUUACUCUGCUGAAAGCUUCUCCUUUCCUCUCAUAUCUCACCCUGCUCCCCACUUUACCCAAGUGAUUCUGGUAAUUUCUAUUUAUUCCUUAGGUCUUAACUCAAAUGAUCCCUUUCUCAGACAAGCAUUGUCUUUUCAAUUUUCCCCAAAUACUCCAUCAUUCCACUUAGGUAAUCACACUUGUAAUUGCGUGUUUAAUAUCAGCCUAUCCCACUUGCUUGAAUUACCAGAGUGCUAAGAUCAUGCAUCUCUGUUCCACCUUUUCAUUUUCUUCUUUCUAUUCCUAUAAAUGUGGAGAUUUAAGAUGGGAAAAUGAGAGUUUAUCUUCUGUUUGGGGGGUUGAACUCCUGUAAACACAUAUAAUAAUACAAGGUUUUUGAAGUUCAAUUCUAAUUACAUACUGAGAGUAUCAAAGAUCGGUGACAAUAAGUGGAUUCUAGGGUGGUAAGAAAAUGGUUUUAAAAUAUUUUCUGUUUUUGCACUGUGAAGAUCUAAUCAGCAAUGCACUUUUUUUUGCUGCUGUUGUCUGCUCUUGUCAAGAACCAUUUCAUAUAAACAUAUUCUGUUCCUGAAGUAACAAAUGGCUCUUCUUUUGCUAGUAAGUUGCAGUUUAUUGAGUCUGCUAGUUACACCUUCUUGGGCUUACCUAGAAGAGCAUUUAACAAGCUCAGUUAUAAGCUACAAAGAGGAGGCUAUGAUGGCUUUUGGUAGACUUAAGAAAGGGAGUGAAUAAAAUCAUCUGGUUCACCUGUUUCUGUAGGCAUUCUACUUACUAGGCAAAAAAUGUAUUGCAUGGGGCUGGAGUAGAAAAAAAGAGACUGUUUAGGAACCUAUAUUAAUAACCCAGACAAGAGAAUAGAGUGGCUUAGGCUAUAGUUGUGGAGAUGGAUAAGGAGAGAGGUGGGAAUGUUUGGGAUGUAUCUUAGAAAUAGGAUCAAGAGGAUUUAUUUUAUGGAUUGGGUACACGUAUGUGCCUGCUGAUUUUCACCAUGAGUAACUGACUGAAUACUAGUGCCAGUUACUGAAAUGGUGACACUUAGAUGGUGGGUGAAUGAAAUUGAGAGUUCCAUUGUGGAUUCUUUAAAUUCUAGAUGCCAAAUAAUACAUCGAACUCUUUUUUGGACUACAUUUGUAAAUUAUUGCAUUUAUUAUUGCAUUUAAAAAUAAUGCCUUGACCUCUUGGCUUUUUGUUGUUUUUGAUGGUGAACUUCUAAGAAGAGAAUGCUUUUGUACUUAACCUUUGUACUCUUUGUACUUCUGGGCCCUCUCAGUUACUUUGAUGAAUAAAUAUAUAGUGGUUGGGACUUACAUAUUGCUUACUCUUCAUUGUCUGUCUGCCUGCCUGCCUGCCUGCCUGCCUGCCUGCCUUCCUUCCUUCCUUCCUUCCUUCCUUCCUUCCUUCCUUCGUUCUUUCUUUCCUUCUCUCUGCGCCACCUCCUUGCCUUCUUUGGUGUAAGCAAAGGUGCUAAACUGGGAAUCAUCAUAUUUGGGUAUUAGUCUCUAGUAGCUUUGUCACUCUGAAAGUGCCAAUGCAUAUUUUCUGAGUCUCCAUUUCUUCAUUUGAAAAAUGAGGCAAGUAGAGAUGACCCCUAAAAUUUCUUCCAGUUUGAAAAUUGUAUAAUUUUUUCUGAGAUGUGCAAAUGCAGUUAUACUUGUGGGUUUUACUUUGUAACUCUUUCAAGGGAAAUGUAUUUUUAGAAAGAGACAAUUUACAAGUAAUCAAUUCAACUCACCCAUAUGAAAGGGGAGGGCAGUGGAACCCUGAGGUAUGCUUCCUCAGUUAUAAAACGAGACUCAAAAUGGUAAUAAUAGCAAAAAUAAUAACAAUACCAGUAAGAAGUCCCUAAAUGUUUUAGUCCCAAAAGACUCUUAUGGGACUAAAAUGAAGUAAAACACGUGAAAGUGCCUAGCGAGGCAUAAAUCUUCAAUAAAUGUGUGCUCUCAUAAUGAUUAUUGUUCUUAAUUUCAUGUGACUUGCCGAAGGAUGUCUAAUAUGCUAGUAGCAGACCCAGGAUUCAGUUGUUUCUUUAAGAGGCACAAGCCUUCAUUUUCUGCUCUAGGCCCUUCCUGCCUUCUCCUCCAGCAAUCAGAGCUGAAUAUGCUUCAUACUCUGUGAAGAUAGUACACUAAAAUAAUUAUGAGUAUAUCUUAAGGGUGAGAUAAAACCUGGGUUUGAAACUAGUUUAUGGUACUUUUUAUUGUAUGACAUUGGAUAAGUAUUAAAUGUUCCUGAAUUUCAGUCUCCUCAUCUGUAAAACAGGGAUAAUAGUAAUGGGUGUACCCUCGAAGAUAUAUAGUGAGGAUAAAUGAUGUAAGGCAUGCCAGGUACUUGGCAAUGUUCAUGGAAUGAUUAAGGCCAAUAAAUAGUACCUGACUAAUUAUUUCUGUGCCAUCACUUGCUAAGGGAUGGAAGUUCUCUGUAUUACUUACCUACCUAGAAGUUACUGCAUGUACUUUUGAAGGAAGGUCUGGCACUGCCAGUCUGGCAGACAAAGAUAACAAUUCAAACAUUGCCCUGGUAAAUAUUGUCAGAACCAUUCAGUUUGCAUAUUAGAAGAUGACAACAGUUCUUGUGGCCUGGACAGCAACUGGUAUGGCUUAAGUAGCGGCGGUGGAGGGCCCUUGGAGGGAGCUCUCUAAGAGAGAAAUAUAAUUGUUAGAUUAUCGAAUGUGUUUGAAAAUAAAAAAAAUAUUACUGUUAUUUGAAAGAUCUAUGAAAACAUUUAGAAAAUAUUAGUGAUAGUUCAUGUAAAUCUAAGUAAAUUAGACAAAUAUUUUCAAGAAAAUAUGAAUAGUAAGGGAAAUGUCAUAAUUGUAUAUCAUUUGGCUUGAUGAAAAAUAUUACAUAGUCAAAAUUGUUUGAACACUGAUAACCUGUGUACCUCCAAUAGUAGCUUCAUUCUACUGAAAAGAUGAGUGGAAGGAAAGAAGUUGAGGGUGGUUGUGAAGAAGAGUGAAAUUCUCAUUUAAAAUGACAAAAAGUCAAAAAAUAGUAUCUAUGCUUAAUAAAUAAGAAACAAUAUUUAUAGUUAGAAACAUUAAGGCAUUACAAGAAAAACCAGCAACAGAUGUUGAAAGAUGUUAUUCUUGGAGAAUAGGACUGGGAGUGGGAGUGGUGGAAGGAGGCUGCUAGCUUUUCUUGUGUGCACUUCUAUACUGUUUGACUUAAGAUGAUGAUUUCUUAAAAAACUAGAAAAAAAGAGAUUAUCCACACCUAUCUUUAUUUUUUGUGUCUUUCCUGAAUGAGGUAAAUAUGAGUUUUCUGUAAGAUAUGUAUAAAACUUUUUUUUUAAAAAAAGCUCAUCUGGAGUUCCCAUCAUGGCUCAGUGGUUAACGAAUCUGACUAGGAACUAUGGGGUUGUGGGUUCAAUCCCUGGCCUCGCUCAGUGGGUUAAGAAUCUGGUGUGGCCCUGAGCUGUGGUGUAGAUUGCAGACGUGGCUCAGAUCUGGUGUUGUUGUGACUCUGGUGUAGGCCGGUGGCUACAGCUCCGAUUAGACCCCUGAUUAGACCCCUGGCCUUGGAAUCUCCACAUGCUGCUGGGGCGGCCCUAAAAAGGACAAAAAGACCAAAGAAAAAA
rnacentral:lncRNA from 1 species